rnacentral:rRNA from 1 species
AGUGAACGCUGGCGGUAGGCCUAACACAUGCAAGUCGAACGGCAGCACAGUAAGAGCUUGCUCUUACGGGUGGCGAGUGGCGGACGGGUGAGGAAUACAUCGGAAUCUACUUUUUCGUGGGGGAUAACGUAGGGAAACUUACGCUAAUACCGCAUACGACCUACGGGUGAAAGCAGGGGACCUUCGGACCUUGCGCGAUUGAAUGAGCCGAUGUCGGAUUAGCUAGUUGGCGGGGUAAAGGCCCACCAAGGCGACGAUCCGUAGCUGGUCUGAGAGGAUGAUCGGCCACACUGGAACUGAGACACGGUCCAGACUCCUACGGGAGGCAGCAGUGGGGAAUAUUGGACAAUGGGCGCAAGCCUGGUCCAGCCAUACCGCGUGGGUGAAGAAGGCCUUCGGGUUGUAAAGCCCUUUUGUUGGGAAAGAAAAGCAGCAGGUUAAUACCCCGCUGUUCUGACGGUACCCAAAGAAUAAGCACCGGCUAACUUCGUG